UACGUAGGGUGCGAGCGUUAAUCGGAAUUACUGGGCGUAAAGCGUGCGCAGGCGGUUUUGUAAGCCAGAUGUGAAAUCCCCGAGCUUAACUUGGGAACUGCAUUUGGGACUGCAAGGCUAGAGUACGGCAGAGGGGGGUAGAAUUCCUGGUGUAGCAGUGAAAUGCGUAGAUAUCAGGAGGAAUACCGAUGGCGAAGGCGGCACUCUGGGCCAGUACUGACGCUGAGGAGCGAAAGCGUGGGGAGCGAACAGG
rnacentral:rRNA from 1 species